rnacentral:rRNA from 1 species
AUGAACGCUGGCGGCGUGCCUAAUACCUGCAAGUCGAGCGAACAGAUCAGGAGCUUGCUCCUUUGACGUUAGCGGCGGACGGGUGAGUAACACGUGGGUAACCUACCUAUAAGACUGGAAUAACUCCGGGAAACCGGGGCUAAUGCCGGAUAACAUUUAGAACCGCAUGGUUCUAAAGUGAAAGAUGGUUUUGCUAUCACUUAUAGAUGGACCCGCGCCGUAUUAGCUAGUUGGUAAGGUAACGGCUUACCAAGGCAACGAUACGUAGCCGACCUGAGAGGGUGAUCGGCCACACUGGAACUGAGACACGGUCCAGACUCCUACGGGAGGCAGCAGUAGGGAAUCUUCCGCAAUGGGCGAAAGCCUGACGGAGCAACGCCGCGUGAGUGAUGAAGGUCUUCGGAUCGUAAAACUCUGUUAUUAGGGAAGAACAAAUGUGUAAGUAACUGUGCACGUCUUGACGGUACCUAAUCAGAAAGCCACGGCUAACUACGUG